rnacentral:lncRNA from 1 species
UGUUGCGGGCCGCGCAGUUCUUGUUUUAGCUUUAGAUAUUUAAAUUAAAUCCGAACAGCAAACAGCGGGGCUGGCGAAUAGCGGUACGGAUGUUGUCCGGAUUCCGAAACAGAGCGCUGUUGCGUGAAGCGCAUGGGCCGCAUUUAAUUCCCGGGAAGGAAUGUUUAGGGGAUUUUCUCCUCGGGAAGGGAAACACAAUA